rnacentral:rRNA from 1 species
ACACGACCGUACCGCAAACCGACACUGGUGCGCGAGAUGAGUAUUCUAAGGCGCUUGAGAGAACUCAGGAGAAGGAACUCGGCAAAUUGACACCGUAACUUCGGAAGAAGGUGUGCCUUUAGUAGGUGAACCUGUACAAGGGGAGCCCAAUGAGGUUGCAAAAAAUCGGUGGCUGCGACUGUUUAAUAAAAACACAGCACUCUGCAAACACGAAAGUGGACGUAUAGGGUGUGACGCCUGCCCGGUGCUGGAAGAUUAAAUGAUGGGGUGCAAGCUCUUGAUUGAAGUCCCAGUAAACGGCGACCGUAACUAUAACGGUCCUAAGGUAGCGAAAUUCCUUGUCGGGUAAGUUCCGACCUGCACGAAUGGCGUAACGAUGGCCACACUGUCUCCUCCUGAGACUCAGCGAAGUUGAAAUGUUUGUGAUGAUGCAAUCUCCCCGCGGAAAGACGGAAAGACCCCAUGAACCUUUACUGUAGCUUUGUAUUGGACUUUGAACAGAUCUGUGUAGGAUAGGUGGGAGGCUUUGAAGUGUGGUCGCUAGAUCGCAUGGAGCCAACGUUGAAAUACCACCCUGGUGUGUUUGAGGUUCUAACCUAGGCCCGUAAUCCGGGUCGGGGACAGUGCAUGGUAGGCAGUUUGACUGGGGCGGUCUCCUCCCAAAGCGUAACGGAGGAGUUCGAAGGUACGCUAGGUACGGUCGGACAUCGUGCUAAUAGUGCAAUGGCAUAAGCGUGCUUAACUGCGAGACUGACAAGUCGAGCAGAUGCGAAAGCAGAACAUAGUGAUCCGGUGGUUCUGUAUGGAAGGGCCAUCGCUCAACGGAUAAAAGGUACUCUGGGGAUAACAGGCUGAUACCGCCCAAGAGUUCAUAUCGACGGCGGUGUUUGGCACCUCGAUGUCGGCUCAUCUCAUCCUGGGGCUGUAGCCGGUCCCAAGGGUAUGGCUGUUCGCCAUUUAAAGAGGUACGUGAGCUGGGUUUAAAACGUCGUGAGACAGUUUGGUCCCUAUCUUCCGUGGGCGCUGCAGAUUUGAGGAAGCCUGCUCCUAGUACGAGAGGACCGGAGUGGACACACCUCUGGUGUAUCGGUUGUCACGCCAGUGGCAUUGCCGAGUAGCUAUGUGUGGAAGAGAUAACCGCUGAAAGCAUCUAAGCGGGAAACUCGUUUCAAGAUGAGAUCUGCCGGGGCCUUGAGCCCCCUAAAGAGUCGUUCAAGACCAGGACGUUGAUAGGUCGGGUGUGGAAGCGCAGUAAUGCGUUAAGCUAACCGAUACUAAUUGCUCGUGCGGCUUGACC